rnacentral:rRNA from 1 species
AUCUAAGUGGGAAGCCUACCCUGAGAUUAGGACUCUUUAUUAGACCCCGAGAAGAAGACUCGGUAUACCGGCAGGCGGUGGAAGGGCAGUAAUGCCUUAAGCCUACC